rnacentral:tRNA from 1 species
GAGGGUGUAGCUCAGUGGUAGAUCAUGUGCUUAGCACGCACAAGGUCCUGGCUUCAAUCGCCAGCACAUCCA